rnacentral:rRNA from 1 species
AUUGAACGCUGGCGGCAGGCCUAACACAUGCAAGUCGAACGAGUGGCGGACGGGUGAGUAAUGUCUGGGAAACUGCCUGAUGGAGGGGGAUAACUACUGGAAACGGUAGCUAAUACCGCAUACCAUCAUAUUUGCCCAGAUGGGAUUAGCUAGUUGGUGGGGUAACGGCUAACCAAGGCGACGAUCCCUAGCUGGUCUGAGAGGCGGACCGGCAACACGGGAACUGAGAAACGGCCCAGACUCCUACGGGAGGCAGCAGUGGGGAACAUUGCACAAUGGGCGAAAGCCGGAUGAAGCCAUGCCGCGGGGAUGAAGAAGGCCUUCGGGUUGUAAAGUACUUUCAGCGGGGAGGCGUUACCCGAAGAAGAAGCACCGGCUAACUCCGUGCCAGCAGCCGCGGUAAUAC